rnacentral:rRNA from 1 species
CGCGUAGGCGGCUCGUUAAGUCUGGAGUGAAAGUCCUGCUUUCAAGGUGGGAAUUGCUUUGGAUACUGGCGAGCUUGAGUGCAGGAGAGGUAAGUGGAAUUCCCAGUGUAGCGGUGAAAUGCGUAGAGAUUGGGAGGAACACCAGUGGCGAAGGCGACUUACUGGACUGUAACUGACGCUGAGGCGCGAAAGUGUGGGGAGCAAACA